UACAGAGGUCUCAAGCGUUGUUCGGAUUCAUUGGGCGUAAAGGGUGCGUAGGCGGCGCGGUAAGUCGGGUGUGAAAUCUCGGAGCUUAACUCCGAAACUGCAUUCGAUACUGCCGUGCUUGAGGACUGGAGAGGAGACUGGAAUUUACGGUGUAGCGGUGAAAUGCGUAGAUAUCGGGAGGAACACCAGUGGCGAAGGCGGUUGCCUGGAGCUUUGCUGACGCUGAGGCGCGAAAGCGUGGGGAGCGAUCCGG
rnacentral:rRNA from 1 species